rnacentral:rRNA from 1 species
CAGCCGCCGCGGUAAUACCGGCGGCCCGAGUGGCGGUCACUAUUAUUGGGCUUAAAGCGUCCGUAGCCGGGUUGGGAAGUCCUCCGGGAAAUCUGGCCGCUUAACGGUCAGAAUGCCGGAGGAUACUCCCAGCCUAGGGAGCGGGAGAGGCCGAGGGUAUUCCCGGAGUAGGGGGGAAAUCCUAUAAUCCCGGGACGACCACCUGUGGCGAAGGCGCUCGGCUGGAACGCGUCCGACGGUGAGGGACGAAGGCCAGGGGAGCAAACCGGAUUAGAUACCCGGGUAGUCCUGGCUGUAAACGAUGCGGACUUUGUGUCGGACAAGCUAUGAGCUUGUCCGGUGCCGGAGGGAAACCGUUAAGUCCGCCGCCUGGGGAGUACGGCCGCAAGGCUGAAACUUAAAGGAAUUGGCGGG